rnacentral:rRNA from 1 species
UCCGUAGGCGGUGCGGCAAGUCGAUAGUGAAAUCUCUGGGCUUAACCCAGAGGCUGCUAACGAAACUGCCGUGCUAGAGUGUGAGAGAGGCGAGUGGAAUUACGGGUGUAGCGGUGAAAUGCGUAGAUAUCCGUAGGAACAUCCGAGGCGAAAGCGGCUCGCUGGAUCACAACUGACGCUGAGGGACGAAAGCUAGGGGAGCAAACAGGAUUAGAUACCCUGGUAGUCCUAGCCCUAAACCAUCAGGACUUGGGGUUUGCCCUGUACGGGGCAAGUCCCGUAGCUAACGCGUUAAGUCCUGCGCCUGGGGAGUACGGUCGCAAGGCUGAA